GGACAACAUCUCGAAAGGGAUGCUAAUACCGCAUACGUCCUACGGGAGAAAGCAGGGGACCUUCGGGCCUUGCGCUAAUAGAUGAGCCUAAGUCGGAUUAGCUAGUUGGUGGGGUAAAGGCCUACCAAGGCGACGAUCUGUAGCGGGUCUGAGAGGAUGAUCCGCCACACUGGGACUGAGACACGGCCCAG
rnacentral:rRNA from 1 species